GAGAUUUUUAGAUUGAAUUAUAAGGGGAAACUUCAAAUACCAUCCCAGUGGUUUCUUACUUCCUCACUUUAGUAUUACGUGGUUUAAAGUGUAUCAAGUUAGUGACUUGUGAUUUCAUUUUUAUCUUUUCGUCAAUUUUUUAUGUUAAUAUUUCGUUAAAUUAUAUAGGAAAAACUUCAGAUAUCCCACCUAGAUUUAUCGAAUAUUCACUUAAGUAUCCUUUAAUUUUAACUUAGUCACUGAUUUAAUGAAAAAAAUUAGUGGGAUCGAUAAUAAAAAUAAAAUAUGGCUAAAUUGCAAAAAAUUCUUCUGUCAAAACUCGAUUUUUCACUUCACUUUCUGUCAUUUAAAAACCUACACUUUGCCCCCUUAUAAAAUGAAAAAUGUUCACACGGAGUACGGUGUGAACUGUGAUGAUAAAAUGACCAUUUUGCCCCUCACUAUGUUCACAGGAAAGAAGUCUGAGGGCAUUUUUGGCAUAAAAAAUAUAUAAUAAUAUUUUAUAAACGGAAUCCUAACGAAUUACUAACGGUUGGGGGCGAAAUGAACAUUCUUUAUUUUACAAAUGGACAAAGUGUAGGUUUUUAAAUAACAGGAGGGAAAGUAAAAAAUCGGAUUUUGAUUGGAGAGUUUUAUCUAAUUUAGCCUAAAAAUAUAAAAAUGAAACUAUAGGGCAAUAAAUUAAUACACUUUAAAGUACAGAAUAUUAAAGUGAAAAAAAUGUGAAACCACAUGAUUGGUAUUUGAAAUUUUUCCUUUUUUAUUUU
rnacentral:lncRNA from 1 species